rnacentral:rRNA from 1 species
AAGAGUUUGGUCCUGGCCCAGAACCAACCCUGUUGGUUUGUCUUAAACAUGCAAGUCAAACGGGAUAUAGUACAUACAUUUGGUGGCUAACAAGCAAUUAACGUGUGAAUGAUCUACUUAUGAGACAGGAACAACCACUAGAAAUAUAUAGGUUUAUUUGUAAAUGUCAUAGCUUAAUUGUGGAUCUAUGUUGUCAACUAUAUAUCUAGGGCUUGAUAGAGGAAGUUAAAAUUUCUGAUGUAAGGGUGGUAUCUGUUAAUAUUGAGAAGGAUGUCAGAGGCAAAGACUAACUUUUGCGGGGCAAGACUGAUACUGAGUCGCGAAAGAGUAGUGAGCAAAUAGGAUUAGAUAUACCAGCACUUUGUGCUGUAAAUGAUGAAAACUUAGUUUUAACUAAAAGUUGACACUAAAACUAAUGUGUUAAGUAUAUCUCUUGAGGGAGAGAUUCUUUCAAUCGUGAAUCUCAAAGGAAUUGACUGGGGCUUGAAUAAUCGGUGGAGCAUGUGUUUUAAUUCGACGAUAUGAGGUGAACUUUGCCGGGGUUUAGUGUAUAUAGGAUGUGAUUAGAGAUAAUUAUUCUCCGCUUGGUAGCUAUAUACAAUUAAUAUAUGAUUAUUGUCGGUUUUGAUUGUGAGGUGUUGAGUCAGGUCUUGCUAAGAGUUCAAUCUUCAUUCUUUAUUAUCGAUGCAUAAUGGUAGAGGCCUAGAUAAGACUGCAAGCGACAAGUCAGAGGAAUAUGAGAAUGUCUCCAGAUCAUCAUGGUCCUUAUCUCCUAGGUAACGCCUAGUACAAUGAUCUUUACAAAGCGGAGCUAAAUAGUGAUGCGAAACAAGGUGCAUAAAGCAGGUCUUAAUUUAAACUGAAGUCGUAAGGUCUGUUUUAUAAAGUUAGAAUCGCUAGUAAUUGUGCAUAUUAAAAUGAUAUGGCAAAUAUGUCUUUUGGCCUUCUAUACACUGCUUGUUACACCGUCUGAGCUGAGAAUGCCUAAAACCAUUGUUCUAAUCUAUAAGAGAAGUAAGGUAUUUGAGGUGUGUUUAGUGUGGGGCUAAAGGCUCAGUAAGGCAGCUGUAUUGUAAAAUAUGGUUGAAU